CGCGGCCUAUCAGCUUGUUGGCGGGGUAACGGCCCACCAAGGCGACGACGGGUAGCUGGUCUGAGAGGACGGCCAGCCACACUGGGACUGAGACACGGCCCAGACUCCUACGGGAGGCAGCAGUGGGGAAUCUUGCGCAAUGGGCGAAAGCCUGACGCAGCGACGCCGCGUGGGGGAUGAAGGCCCUCGGGUUGUAAACCCCUUUCGGCAGGGACGAAGCGAAAGUGACGGUACCUGCAGAAGAAGCUCCGGCUAACUACGUGCCAGCAGCCGCGGUAAGACGUAGGGAGCGAGCGUUGUCCGGAUUUAUUGGGCGUAAAGCGCGCGUAGGCGGCCGUGCAAGUCGGUUGUGAAAUUCCGGGGCUCAACCCCGGGACUGCGUCCGAUACUGUGCGGCUCGAGGCAGGCAGGGGAGAGUGGAAUUCCCGGUGUAGCGGUGAUAUGCGCAGAUAUCGGGAGGAACACCGGUGGCGAAGGCGGCUCUCUGGGCCUGUCCUGACGCUCAGGCGCGAAAGCUAGGGGAGCGGACAGGAUUAGAUACCCUGGUAGUCCUAGCCGUAAACGUUGGGCGCUAGGUGUGGGGAGAUAUCGACCCUUUCCGUGCCGAAGCUAACGCAUUAAGCGCCCCGCCUGGGGAGUACGG
rnacentral:rRNA from 1 species